CAAGGGGUUAGAACACAUGUGCCGGCGAUUAUUAAAAUCAUCUGGAGGAGAACGGCUUAUUGUUGGAAAGCCCAGAACUUACAACGCUUUUAUGCCUGGUGUCCUCAUCAACUCUUCUUUGACUCCUGCUUUUCUCAAGUGCACAGAUAGAUCAGGAAUGUGCGAGGAAGAAAUGAUGGCUGUCGGCCCUUCGUGUCUUCGAGGGAGCCGUGAAACGCAAAGCUAAUCGGACGGACGGAGAGCUGGUGAGAGGCAGGGUGGCCAUCGGCUUCAGGAUGUUCCUGCUUUGCUAUUGCAUGGAAUUUUUUCGAGUGUGGAUUGCUAUGUAUUUCUUUGGGGCAGUGAAGCCAAGGCAGCGCUGUUGGGGACAAGAGAUAAAUGCCAAAUGUCAUGGAAAGAGGGGAGAAGGCUCAUCAGCUUGAUGCUACAGACAAAGCCCAGAGUGUGUGAUUGAAAAUGUCCAGCCUCGUGCAGGAUGCCGGGCCCCAAGAGAAGACGGAGCCAGGAGUGCCAGGCACACUGUGAGCACUUGCUCCCAUGGCUCCCAGCAAGCCUUGCCUCACUUGCUCCCACGGCUCCCAGCAAGCCUUGCCUCACUUGCUCCCAUGGCUCCCAGCAAGCCUUGCCUCUUUCGUC